rnacentral:snRNA from 14 species
AGCUUUGCACAGUGGCAGUAUCGUAGCCAAUGAGGUUUAUCCGAGGCGCGAUUAUUGCUAACUGAAACAUUGGUGUGCAUGUAUCCCUGUAGUAUGAUGACUUGAGCUCUUUGAGAAAGAUUCCUAGCAAAGAGAAAGCUGGGUGAUAUGGAAUUUCUAAUUUUGUUUUAUUGAGAA